rnacentral:rRNA from 1 species
UCCGUAGGCGGGUAAUUAAGUCAGAGGUGAAAUCCCACAGCUUAACUGUGGAACUGCCUUAGAUACUGGUUAUCUUGAGUUUUAGUGAAGUAGAUAGAAUGUGUAGUGUAGCGGUGAAACGCAUAGAUAUUACACAGAAUACCGAUUGCGAAGGCAGUCUACUAACUAACAACUGACGCUAAUGGACGAAAGCGUGGGGAGCGAACAGGAUUAGAUAACCUGGUAGUCC